rnacentral:ribozyme from 1 species
AAAAGAAAAAAGAUAAGCUAAAAGAGGCUCUCUGUUCGCUUGCACCUUUUUGUAAAUAGUUCCAUGUUUUCAAACAGUAACAUCUUUGUCGACUUUCUUUGCUUUAGCUUUUCUUUUUUAGGCCGAAUUUUCUUCUUUGCGAUACAUUUUUAAUAUGUGGAGG